CCAUGCUUUUCUUCCAAGAUCUGAGAUGAUUGGGUGCAUUCUGGUCAUUUGGUCAUAGGUGGUGUAUGGACAUCUGUGUAAAAGAGCUUAAUAGCUCAUUACAUUGCUCAAUUAUAAAUAAAGAUUGCGAUUCUAUGUGUCUGUUGUUGCAUCUGUAUGUUAUACAAUAACCGCACGCAAUCGUUAAAAUGCUUUUCUGUGUUUCUUUGCCGCCGUUUUCCCGUGGCCCACAGCUCAUUGACAGGAAUUGGCAGCUGGAAUCUCUGCAGGCAGAGAUUCAGUGGUACGAACGUGUGGUGGUGGAGCUGCACGCCGAGUUGGCGCCCUACCGCGAAAACAGGCAGAGCGCACACUCAGAGCAGCAGCAUCUGCAGAGCGAGGUGGAGGACGGUCAUUGGUGGAAGAGGGAGAGGGGGCGGAGUUCCCCCCAAUCAGACUGCAUUGAUGGGCAGUACAGUCUCUUCCUACGGUUGAUGAAGAGGACAUCUCUGGCUGCUCACUGGAGCCCAGCGUUCAAGAAGCCUCCUAAGACCUGCAAUUACAUACGGACUUAUACACACAUAUCGACUAAGACACACACACACGUGGACUUACACACACACAUGGACCCAUGCACACACAUCGACUUACACACACACAUCGACUCACACACACUGCCCUACACACACACAUACACAUAUGGACUCAAACACACAGACAUCGACUUAAAAUACACACACAUGGAGUUACACACAAAGACAAAGAUCCCCCGUAUAGCAACAGACUGUAGGGGCAAGUGCUGUUAGCGAGCACCUAUAAAGGCCGGAAUAGCACACGAGGGGGUGGGUGGCCAGCACCACGCCCGGCCGGCUUUGUCUCCUCAGUGGCGAUGUUUAUGCACUGCACCAGGUACUCAUUUCAGGCUGAGUCGACCUAGGGGAGGCCCAGGACUGGUUCAGAUAAUCGUCACUGGUGUUGGCCAUGAGCGGGAAUUGAACCCGGGUCGCUAGGUUCAUAGCGCAGCGCGCUGCUACACUACCGCUCCCCACACAAAUAGACAAAUAUCCCCCGUGUAGCCUUAACAGACUGUAGGGGCAAGUGCUGUUAGCGAGCACCUAUGAAGGCAGGCACGGCACACGAGGGGGUGGGGUGGCUAACACCACGCCCGGCCGCCUUUGUCUCCCUAGUGGUGAUGUUUACACACCGCACCAGGUACUCAUUUUAGGCUGAGUCGACCUAGGGGAGGCCCAGGACCGGUUCUGACAACCGUCACCGGUGUUGGCCGUGAGCGGGAAUCGAACUCGAGUCGCCGGGUUCACAGCGCAGCGCGCUAACCGCUACACUACCGCUCCCCACACACACACACAAACGUACACACACACAUAUGGACUCAUCACACACACAUACACAUCGACGUACACACAUAUCAACUGACACAUAUGUAAUAUAGCUCGCAGAGACGGCGUCGUCUCUUCUGUUUGUUUAUUAUCAAAUAAAUAUCAACCAAUAACUCAA